CAGUAGCCGCGGGAAAACGUAGGUGGCAAGCGUUGUCCGGAAUUAUUGGGCGUAAAACGCGCGCAGGCGGAUCAGUUAGUCUGUCUUAAAAGUUCGGGGCUUAACCCCGUGAUGGGAUGGAAACUGCUGAUCUAGAGUAUCGGAGAGGAAAGUGGAAUUCCUAGUGUAGCGGUGAAAUGCGUAGAUAUUAGGAAGAACACCAGUGGCGAAGGCGACUUUCUGGACGAAAACUGACGCUGAGGCGCGAAAGCCAGGGGAGCGAACGGGAUUAGAUACCCCCGUAGUCCCUGUCUCUUAUACA
rnacentral:rRNA from 1 species